UCCCUGGUGGUCCAGCAGUUAGGACUCUGCGCUUCCACUGCAGGAGGUGUGGGUUUGAUCCCCAGUUGGGGAA
rnacentral:tRNA from 1 species